rnacentral:misc_RNA from 1 species
AAAAAAAAAAAAAAAAACACAAUGACAAGAGCUUCGUAAAGGCACCACGGUCCCCUACACAUCACCACCCAUCAUUGUCAUGGUCUUCAAAGUACCACCACCACCACCACCAUAGAUGUAGCGCUUGGCACGAGGCAACACUGUUGGUACCUAUCUGGCCUCCAGAUGUUACCGAGGGACUAAGAUCCUUUGGAAUCUAGUCGCCAUCCAAACCACAAGUGAAAGAAUAAUGACUAUUUUGGAAAUCAGUACCUUACCACAGCUUCUCUGACUUCUGUCAACUCAAUAGCUACCGAAGGAAAAACCAUUUGACCCUUCUGGAGUCAAAUACUUGAUUGGUCAGUUUGACCUGAAAUGUGAACAGAUUGAGACCUGUCUGUUGGCAGCUCCUAAUCUUUCCCCUCCCUUCGCCUGCCUUCAAUUCCCUGUGCAGCUGUCAAACUCGAAACUUCAUUUUGGCAUCUUAACUUAGAGAAACCAACAGGUUAGGUCAAGGAGUCAUCGAGUCUACUAGGCAAGCUCACAACCGGCUCUGCACCUGUUUUAUAUCAGAUCUUGCAGGUGCCAUGUCAAACUUCCAUUUCAGCACUACUUCACUCCCAUCUCAGUGUCACAUCACCUGAUAGUAACACAUCAUCACUGCCACAUUAGGAGUAAAAACAACUGCUAAAGGCUGAAAAUUGUGUUCCGGUGAGGUAUGCUUUUUAAUUGGAACUUAAUGUUGCGACUCACAUCGAAAGACUAAAAGAUGAAAUUGAUCACUAUAAGUGUAAUUACUGAUUUAUAUCAUUGGUUAAGUAAAUAUUUUGGUGUUCCUAUAUAUUAUAAAUAUCGAGAUAUGCAACGAAUUUUAUGAGUCUGGGAAAGAAAACUUGAAGCAUGGAAGAAAGAAUAGGUGAUAUCAAGUAUCUUUAAACUGAAAGCAGAAUUUGAUGCAAUAUCAGGAUUGAAAGCACAGUUUGAUGAGUUAUCAAAAGUUGUUAAAGAUUUAAGGCAAGAACGGAAAGAGCACUUUGAAUCCAGAAAGCAACUUGAAGAACCUGAAGCUUUGGAUGUUGAGUCUUCAUAUGUUUAAGGACCACUUCUAGGAAUGCAUGUUGAAGAAUCUGUUCUAGAACAAGAAGCUUAUGAAGCUGAGCAUGAAAAGUUUGAGGAUAGUAGCCUAGAAAUUGAAGGAAAUAAAGACAUGGGGUCUUCAAUAGAAAAUAAAAAUAAUCAAGCUAAUGAGAUGACAAUGGAAAUUGAAGAUUUU